UGGGGAAUAUUGCACAAUGGAGGAAACUCUGAUGCAGCGACGCCGCGUGAGUGAAGAAGUAAUUCGUUAUGUAAAGCUCUAUCAGCAGGGAAGAUAGUGACGGUACCUGACUAAGAAGCACCGGCUAAAUACGUGCCAGCAGCCGCGGUAAAACGUAGGGUGCAAGCGUUGUCCGGAAUUACUGGGUGUAAAGGGAGCGCAGGCGGAUGGCUAAGUCUGAUGUGAAAGCCCGGGGCUCAACCCCGGGACUGCAUUGGAAACUGGUUAUCUUGAGUGUCGGAGAGGCAAAUGGAAUUCCUAGUGUAGCGGUGAAAUGCGUAGAUAUUAGGAAGAACACCAGUGGCGAAGGCGAUUUGCUGGACACUAACUGACGCUGAGGCGCGAAAGCGUGGGGAGCAAACAGGAUUAGAUACCCUGGUAGUCCACGCCGUAAACGAUGGAUACUAGGUGUGGGGGGUCUGACCCCCUCCGUGCCGCAGUUAACACAAUAAGUAUCCCACCUGGGGAGUACGAUCGCAAGGUUGAAACUCAAAGGAAUUGACGGGGGCCCGCACAAGCGGUGGAGUAUGUGGUUUAAUUCGAAGCAACGCGAAGAACCUUACCAGGUCUUGACAUCCCGAUGACCGGUGUAGAGAUACACCUUCUCUUCGGAGCAUCGGUGACAGGUGGUGCAUGGUUGUCGUCAGCUCGUGUCGUGAGAUGUUGGGUUAAGUCCCGCAACGAGCGCAACCCUUGUUGCUAGUUGCUACGCAAGAGCACUCUAGCGAUACUGCCGUUGACAAAACGGAGGAAGGUGGGGACGACGUCAAAUCAUCAUGCCCCUUAUGACCUGGGCCACACACGUACUACAAUGGCGGUUAACAGAGGGAAGCAAUACCGCGAGGUGGAGCAAAUCCCUAAAAGCCGUCCCAGUUCGGAUUGCAGGCUGCAACCCGCCUGCAUGAAGUCGGAAUCGCUAGUAAUCGCGGAUCAGCAUGCCGCGGUGAAUACGUUCCC
rnacentral:rRNA from 1 species